rnacentral:rRNA from 1 species
GAUGAACGCUGGCGGUAUGCCUAACACAUGCAAGUCGUACGAGAGUUUUUAACUCUAGUGGCGGACGGGUGAGUAACACGUGAGAAUUUGCCUUUAGGAGGGGGACAACAAUUGGAAACGAAUGCUAAUACCCCAUAUGCUUUCGAGUGAAAUGGAUUUUANCCGCCUAGAGAGAAGCUCGCGGCUGAUUAGCUUGUUGGUAAGGUAAGAGCUUACCAAGGCGACGAUCAGUAUCUGGUUUGAGAGGACGAUCAGACACACUGGAACUGAGACACGGUCCAGACUCCUACGGAGGCAGCAGUGGGGAAUUUCCGCAAUGGGCGAAAGCCUGACGGAGCAAUACCGCGUGAGGG